rnacentral:rRNA from 2 species
ANCUNCCGGAAACCGGGGCUAAUACCGGAUGGUUGUUUGAACCGCAUGGUUCAGACAUAAAAGGUGGCUUCGGCUACCACUUACAGAUGGACCCGCGGCGCAUUAGCUAGUUGGUGAGGUAACGGCUCACCAAGGCGACGAUGCGUAGCCGACCUGAGAGGGUGAUCGGCCACACUGGGACUGAGACACGGCCCANACUCCUACGGGAGGCAGCAGUAGGGAAUCUUCCGCAAUGGACGAAAGUCUGACGGAGCAACGCCGCGUGAGUGAUGAAGGUUUUCGGAUCGUAAAGCUCUGUUGUUAGGGAAGAACAAGUGCCGUUCAAAUAGGGCGGCACCUUGACGGUACCUAACCAGAAAGCCACGGCUAACUACGUGCCAGCAGCCGCGGUAAUACGUAGGUGGCAAGCGUUGUCCGGAAUUAUUGGGCGUAAAGGGCUCGCAGGCGGUUUCUUAAGUCUGAUGUGAAAGCCCCCGGCUCAACCGGGGAGGGUCAUUGGAAACUGGGGAACUUGAGUGCAGAAGAGGAGAGUGGAAUUCCACGUGUAGCGGUGAAAUGCGUAGAGAUGUGGAGGAACACCAGUGGCGAAGGCGACUCUCUGGUCUGUAACUGACGCUGAGGAGCGAAAGCGUGGGGAGCGAACAGGAUUAGAUACCCUGGUAGUCCACGCCGUAAACGAUGAGUGCUAAGUGUUAGGGGGUUUCCGCCCCUUAGUGCUGCAGCUAACGCAUUAAGCACUCCGCCUGGGGAGUACGGUCGCAAGACUGAAACUCAAAGGAAUUGACGGGGGCCCGCACAAGCGGUGGAGCAUGUGGUUUAAUUCGAAGCAACGCGAAGAACCUUACCAGGUCUUGACAUCCUCUGACAAUCCUAGAGAUAGGACGUCCCCUUCGGGGGCAGAGUGACAGGUGGUGCAUGGUUGUCGUCAGCUCGUGUCGUGAGAUGUUGGGUUAAGUCCCGCAACGAGCGCAACCCUUGAUCUUAGUUGCCAGCAUUCAGUUGGGCACUCUAAGGUGACUGCCGGUGACAAACCGGAGGAAGGUGGGGAUGACGUCAAAUCAUCAUGCCCCUUAUGACCUGGGCUACACACGUGCUACAAUGGACAGAACAAAGGGCAGCGAAACCGCGAGGUUAAGCCAAUCCCACAAAUCUGUUCUCAGUUCGGAUCGCAGUCUGCAACUCGACUGCGUGAAGCUGGAAUCGCUNG